UACGUAGGUGGCAAGCGUUGUCCGGAAUUAUUGGGCGUAAAGCGCGCGCAGGCGGUCCUCUAAGUCUGAUGUGAAAGCCCACGGCUCAACCGUGGAGGGUCAUUGGAAACUGGGGGACUUGAGUGCAGGAGAGAAGAGUGGAAUUCCACGUGUAGCGGUGAAAUGCGCAGAUAUCGGGAAGAACACCCGUGGCGAAGGCGGCUCUCUGGGACGGUACUGACGCUGAGACGCGAAAGCGUGGGGAGCGAACAGG
rnacentral:rRNA from 1 species